rnacentral:piRNA from 1 species
UCUGCAGGUCGGGGAGAUGGGGUGGAU